AUGACUAUGUCAAUCAUCCCCAUCGGUUUUCCUGAGAGUGCAGUGCAGUCCUCAUCUUCUGAGCUCUCAGAUGAGCUCAGCACUGCCCUCGCUGCAGGACGGUGGUGGGCAAUAAUGGAGGUCUCCUCUCCUAUAUCUGAGGAGCCUGAAUAUGGAGACCUCACCUCACUCAGGUUCCCACACUCAGGCUUCUCAGAAUCAACACUGAAUACCAAGGAACCUUGGAGGCAGAAGAAGACAAAGAGUACACCCAUGCCUCCUAGGUCCCUAAAGGGAGCACCUGUGCCUGCCUUUGCUGAGAAGAGGGACCACACCUCAUCACUGGUCUUCAACAAUGCAUCGGAGAAGGCUGAUUCUCAGCACUCAGGCUUCUCAGAUGCAAAGCUCAAGACCACAGAGCAACAGAGGAAGUGGAGGCAGAAGAAGCCUCAGGGACCACCUGUGCUUGCUGGGUCUGAGAAGGCUGAGUAUGGGAAUUCAAUGAAGACCACUAAGCAGGUGAGGCAAGAGUGGAGACAGAAGAAGCCUCAGGGACCACCUGUGCCUGGUGACUCCCCCCAGGGACAUCCUGUGCCCACUCGGUCCCAACAACGUGGAAAAAUAAGGAUCCCUGAGCAUCUGAGGCAGCACCUGCUACAGGCCGCCAAUGACCUGGGAGCAACUGUGCCUGCUAGGUCCCCACAGGGACCACCAGUUCCUACAAAGUCUCUACAGAGAGAACCUGUGCCUGCCUCAAAGGUGCAAAACUUAAAUACCCAUGAGCCACUAAGGCUACAGCAGAAGAAGCCUCAAGCCUCUUCUCACAAGGGAGCACCUGUACCCAACAAGACCCCAGAGAGGCAAAGGCUAAAAAUCCCUGUGCCGCUGAGGCAGGAGCUGCUGCAGGUGUCAUCUAGAGCCUCUACUGAAAAGGGAGCACCUGUGCCCCAAAAAACCCAGGAGAGGCAGAGGCUCAAGACGCCUGAGCUGUUAAAGCAGGAGCUGCUUCAGGUGUCACCCAGAGCCUCUUCUGAGAAGGGAGCACCCGUGCUCAUAAAGACUGCAGAGAGGCAAAGGCUCAAAAUACCAGAGCCACUGAGGAAGGAACUGCUCCAGAAGCCUCAAGCCUCUCCUGCAGAGGGUAAACCCAUGUCUUCCAAGUCCCCAAAGGAAGCACCUUUACCUGACAGGAACCCUGUUCAUACAGGGACCUCACAGGGAUCAGGAGUGCUCUCCAGUUCUCCACUGCCCACUGGGUGUCUGAGGGAAGCAGCAGUACCCACUAAAACCAUGAAGGCAGGAAAAAGGAGGCUUGCUGAGCAACUGAGCAUGCCUAUCUCUUCCACUGAAGGAUUACAUAUGCCCUCCAUGACCUCAAAAGUGGCACCUGUGUAUUCUGGGACCUUACAGGGAGCCCUUGUGACCAGAAGCUCCCCAAGACUGGAAGCAAACCCAAGAAUCACAGAGCAGCAGAAGCAGAAGCGCAGGGAGCAGUGGAGACAGCAGCAGAGACAGCGGAGGCAGCAGAUGGCAUUAGUAAGUUCUUUCCAUUUCUGA
rnacentral:lncRNA from 1 species